AUGAAUUGGGGUUUGCUAAAGGAAGAUAUUGUUCGUGCAGUUCAACAAUUCUUUAUAUCGGGAUGUAUGCCGGAGGGGAUAAAUAAUACAACUAUUGUGCUUAUUCCGAAAGUGAAGAACCCCCAGUCGAUAAAAGACUUUCGGUCAAUCAGUCUAUGCAAUGUCAUAUAUAAAAUUAUCUCCAAGUGUCUUGUCAACAGACUGAGACCUCAGUUGGACGGUAUGAUUUCUCCAACCCAAAGUGUGUUCAUCCCUGGAAGAUUAAUUUCUGAUAAUGCUCUUAUAGCUUUUGAAUGUAUGCAUUCGUUGAGUACGCUAAAAGACAGCCGAGGUGAAUAUUGUGCGUACAAGCUGGACCUAGCCAAGGCAUAUGAUCGUGUAGACUGGAGGUUCUUGGAAAGUAUGCUUCGGGCAUAUGGUUUUGCUCCAGUGUGGGUUAAGUGGAUUAUGAUCUGUGUGACGUCAGUGAAAUUUUCUGUGCGGUUUAAUGGUCAGUUGUUAGAUUCGUUCCAACCUUCUUGUGGCCUCAGGCAAGGGGAUCCUCUAUCUCCUUACCUUUUCCUAUUUGUGGCUGAGGCUCUGUCGUUGUUACUCCAUGAUGCUACGGCGAAAGGGGUUAUUCAGGAUUUUCGGCUGAUCAGACAUGCUCCAGGGGUCUCACAUUUAUUAUUUGCGGAUGAUAGCCUCCUAUUUUUUAAGGGUUCUUUGGAGCAAGCUCUGGUCAUUAAACGGAUUCUGGUUGCUUAUGAGGAGGGGACGGGUCAAUUGCUAAGUCCGGAUAAAUGCUCCAUUUUGUUUGGUAAAAAGUGUAGCCUGGAAGAUCAAGUUUCUAUCUUGGUGGUUCUCAAAAUCACCUCUGAUGGUUUUGAGGAUAAAUAUCUUGGUUUACCUGUGCCGGAAGGGCGGAUGAAGGCUGGUAAAUUCCAAUCUACAAAAGAUAAAGCGCUUAAGCGGGUUUCAGACUGGAUAGAAAAAUAUGCUUCUAGUGGUGUGAAGGAGCUCCAGAUUAAGUCAGUCAUUCAGUCUCUUCCGGUCUAUGCCAUGGGGAUUUUUAAAUUUCCUGCUUCUAUUUGUGAAGAGUUAUCCCAAAUUAUUAGGAAUUUUUGGUGGGGUGACCAGGAGGAUAGGAAGAAAACUCAUUGGCUAGUAUGGGAUAAGUUGACAAGACCCAAAGGAGAAGGAGGUAUGGGCUUUAGAGAUUUGAGAUUAUUUAAUCAAGCGCUUUUGGCGAAACAGGCUUGGCGUUUAUUGGUCUUUCCGGACUCGUUAUGUGCAAAGGUGAUGAAAGCAAAGUAUUAUCCUCAUGGGCAUUUGCUAGACACUGUAUUCCCUCAGGUGACAUCGACUACUUGGCAAGGUAUUAUGCAUGGUCUUGAGCUGCUGAAAAAGGGGGUCAUUUGGAGAGUUCGCGACGGUGCAAAUAUAAAUAUUUGGAGAGACAAUUGGCUUCCUAGAGAUUCGGGGCUUCAAAUUUCAGCAAAAAGGAACAGAACCGGACUCAAAUGUGUGUCUGAAUUAUUCAUUAGUGGCUCAACAAGAUGGGAUGAGAAUCUUAUUCGGCAUCUGUUCUUUCCACAUGAUGCGGACGAAAUUUUGAAGUUACGUGUUCUGACUGUCGGUGAUGGAGAUUUCAUUGCUUGGCACUACGAAAAAAAUGGUUUAUUCUCAGUUAAAAGUGCGUAUAAGUUGGCGCUCAAACUUAAGGACUCCAUGAUUGAGUUAGGGAGUUCAAGUGGUGCUGCUAAUGGGGAAAGGAGGCUAUGGAAUAUUAUUUGGAAGGCUCAGAUCCCUCAGAAAAUCAGAAUUUUUGCAUGGCGUGCUGCGACACAAAGUUUGGCGGUUCAAGUUAACAGAGUUAAACACCACCAAACUACCAUUGGUCUGUGCUCGAUUUGUGGCGUAGAAGAUGAAUCUGUAUUUCAUGCACUGGUAAGCUGUCCUAAGGCUCGUGCGUUACGUCUGGCGGUAAGGGAGGUGUGGAAUUUACCAGAUGAAGUGGUUUUCAAUUUUACGGGGCCGGAUUGGUUACUUGUCUUAUUGGAUCAAGUAAGGCCGCCGGUGCGUGAGCAAAUUAUAUUCAUGUUUUGGAGGGCUUGGCAUCUGAGGAAUGAUUUGAUUUUUGGUAAGGGAAAGGAAAAAAUCUCUGACUCGGUGAGGUUCAUUCAGAAUUACUGGACGUCCUUCUCGUCCUGUCAUCCCAUUGUCAAGAUGGAGAUUAGCAUCAAAGGUAAAGAGAGGGUGGAUGGCUUAAAUUUUACUAAUGAUAUGCGAAAGAAUCUUGUGACUUGGCAGGCUCCCGCUACGGAGAUCAUUAAGAUUAAUGUUGAUGCAAGUUUUGUGGAGGCUUUAAGGGCUGCAAGUGUGGGCGUCGUGGCCAGGAACCAUACUGGAGAAGUUAUCAUAUCGUCCUGGGAUUAUAUUGGGGUGUGCAAUAGCGCGGAAGAAGCGGAACUGAGAGCGACCCUUGCGGGGCUAUACAUUGGUAUUACUCUCCACAAGGCCAUCAUUUUAGAAACGGAUUGUUCUUUUGUGGCUUCUUUCCUUCGAAAUGAUCUUCUAGACAGGUCUCCUCUGGUGGAUCUAAAGAUAGAAGCUUUGAGUUUAGCCAAAAUGAUGAUAAAUUGCAAGAUACCCGAGAUUAAAAGAACGGCUAAUAGGGUGGCGCACGAGAUUGCGAAGUUCAGCUUUGAUAAUAAGUCCGAUGGUGUGCUCCUUAAUAGUGUUCCGCCCUGCGUGGCUGAUUUUGUAACGGAUGAUUGUAUGAAUAUUUUAAGUUAA
rnacentral:rRNA from 1 species